rnacentral:rRNA from 1 species
CCUACGGGAGGCUGCAGUGAGGAAUAUUGGUCAAUGGACGAGAGUCUGAACCAGCCAAGUAGCGUGAAGGAUGACUGCCCUAUGGGUUGUAAACUUCUUUUAUAUGGGAAUAAAAUGUUCCACGUGUGGGAUUUUGUAUGUACCAUAUGAAUAAGGAUCGGCUAACUCCGUGCCAGCAGCCGCGGUAAUACGGAGGAUCCGAGCGUUAUCCGGAUUUAUUGGGUUUAAGGGGAGCGUAGGUGGAUUGUUAAGUCAGUUGUGAAAGUUUGCGGUUCAACCGUAAAAUUGCAGUUGAAAUUGAAGUCUUGAGUACAGUAGAGGUGGGCGGAAUUCGUGGUGUAGCGGUGAAAUGCUUAGAUAUCACGAAGAACUCCGAUUGCGAAGGCAGUUCACUGGACUGCAACUGACACUGAGGCUCGAAAGUGUGGGUAUCAAACAGGAUUAGAUACCCUUGUAGUC